GUGGUGCAUGGUUGUCGUCAGCUCGUGUCGUGAGAUGUUGGGUUAAGUCCCGCAACGAGCGCAACCCUUGUCUUUAGUUGCCAUCAUUAAGUUGGGCACUCUAGAGAGACUGCCAGGGAUAACCUGGCGGAAGGUGGGGAUGACGUCAAAUCAUCAUGCCCCUUAUGCUUAGGGCUACACACGUGCUACAAUGGGUAGUACAGAGGGUUGCCAAGCCGUAAGG
rnacentral:rRNA from 1 species